rnacentral:misc_RNA from 1 species
GUGAGUCAUCGAAUCUUUGAACGCACAUUGCGCCCGCCAGUAUUCUGGCGGGCAUGCCUGUUCGAGCGUCAUUUCAACCCUCAAACCCCCGGGUUUGGUGUUGGGGAUCGGUUAGACUUGCUCUCACCGGCCCCGAAAUCUAGUGGCGGUCACGCUGCAGCUUCCAUUGCGUAGUAGAUAACACCUCGCAACUGGGACGCGGCGCGGCCAAGCCGUUAAACCCCCAACUUCUGAAUGUUGACCUCGGAUCAGGUAGGAAUACCCGCUGAACUUAAGCAUAUCAAUAAGCGGAGGA